ensembl:lncRNA
GAAGAAUCCCAUGGACCUCCAGAGGAGCCCAGCAGGCUACAGCCAUGGAGUCGCAAAGAGUUGAACACGACUAAAGUGACUACACACGUACACACACACCAUAUAUGUCUCUGGCUUGCACUCAGAUAUCUCUGAGUUUGAGUCUGAGCUCACCACGCAUUGCCAGGAAUGGAAACAUGGUGGGGAUUAGGAGAUGGUCUGGAUAUCAGCAGAUACCUGAGGAGCUCACCUGGGUCUCAACACAAUGAUGGAAAGCACGUGAGAUUUGGCACCUCCUGGUUCGACUCCCUGGCUGCCUUUCUGAGUAGCAUUUAGGGGAGACACCUGCCUGGCUGUGGGUCAACAUCCCCAUCUCUAAUAAGAGGAUAAUAACAUGUCACCAUGAAGGGGAGGCACUAUAAAGACUCUGUGAAAUGGUGUUUGCAAGAGUGCUGUUUGUAAAAUAUAUUACAUAAAGGGGUUCUUACUAUCAUUUUUGAGCUUCCCUGGUGGCUCAGUGGUGAGGAAUCUGCCUGCCAAUGCAGGAGACGCAGAAGGUGCUCCAUAUAGGUAGCACUGAAGCCCAAGGACGCCCAAAGGGGCACCACCACCUCCGCCCCACCCACUGGGAUUUGAGGCUAUUCCAGGAGUCGGCCCUGCUCUGCACAGGCCCUCACUGGAGGGGAGGAGGCUGCCCCCUCCCCCUGACACUCCUCUGAGAAGCCAUUCUUCAUCGCAGCUCCUGCAGCCUCCCCUGACCGCCUCGAUCAAGUUACAGACCCAUUUGUUUUCCCCGCACAAAGCACUGUAGUCUGCCAGCUUCUCCCCCUUCUGCUCCAGCCGGGGGAGCUGGGCCAAGAGUUCAUCUCCGAGUAGCGCAGGCCCAGUACUUCUCACUAAGGAACACAGAAAAUGUCACAGCCAGCCCCAUCUUCAUACCUUGUAUGCAUCUUCAUCAAUUUCCAGGCCCCUGGAGCAGUUCCCAGCCUCUACUCCUUUUCAGCUGAGACUCACAAAUAUGUCAGUUGAAUGUCCUUCUCUGGUAAGCUUCAGGAGGCAUUUGAUCAAGUCUAUCUCAUUCUGCACUGCUUCUACAGCACAGACCACAGUGCUUGACGAAGAGUUGAUGCUUAACAGAUAUUCAAUGGAUGAAUAAAACCUCCCGAUAAUACUGUAGCAUAAAUAUUUUCAUUUUCCUGAUUGUGUAGAGAAGGCAACUGAGACCCCAAUUGGUGAAAUGUCUAACCCACGUUGACCCAGCCAGUAAAUAGCUGCACUAAGAUUCAAAUGCAGGUUUUCGCCAAGUGUUUGCUGCAUUUGAUUUAUAUUAAGGUCACGCUGGAAACGUUAACAAAGGCAAUUUUUAAAAAUAAAGAAGCUGAAACUGCCCAGUGUUCCCUCUCCACCCCCAACACAGCAUGACUUGUGCAAGCCAGAAGGUUCUGAGCAACCCACGCAAGGCGGAGGCCAGGAGACAGGGGCGGCCCUUGUCCCUCAGCUGCGGGGACUGGAUCCUCACACGGAGCCCCUCCCGGCUUGUCCCCACCAGGGCAGAACUUGGAUAAAAAAGUCUCAGAAGAACAAAGACCACAUUUUCCCCUGCAAGGCAGAGAGGCCAGCACUGGGGAAACAAUGGCCUUGCCAGGAUCAAAGAGAGCUGGGCCCAGACUGGGGACAAAAGCUGAGCCCCAGCUUGAUAAGAAUGACAGCCUGCCCUCCUCCUCCUUGUGUUACAAAGGUCUAGGGUGGGGGCAACGGCAAGCAUGUGUGCAGGUCCUUUGGGGCCCACCCCAUCUUCCAGCUUCAUCCCCCAACUCCCUGCCCCUCCUCACCCCACACAGCUCCAGGAAUGCAGCUUAAUUGCUCUCCCCUACCAGCCAUGUUCUUUUCCAUUCUAGGCCUUCAUUCAUGUUUUUCCUCUAUCUAACAUGCUCUUCUCCUUUGCCCUUAAGUGCACUGACUCAGGCUUCAGCAUUUCAGCUCACAAGCUGCCUCCUCUCUGCCCUCCACUCUUUGAGGCCUGGGUCCAUCGCACCCUGCUGUGUGCUUGCUCCAAUCCAGUUCCAGCACUGCUCACAUGGAAUUAUUAUGACCAGUGUCAACAGAUGCCUCCCUCCCACAGCAGACUGUGACCACAUGGAGGCUGAGACAAUUUCUUAAUGCUUUUGCAAAUGCAUUGCCUAGCACAAGACGAGGCAGAUGGGUAAACAUUAGUUG